rnacentral:rRNA from 1 species
GAUGAACGCUGGCGGCGUGCCUAAUACAUGCAAGUCGAGCGAACAGACGAGGAGCUUGCUCCUCUGACGUUAGCGGCGGACGGGUGAGUAACACGUGGAUAACCUACCUAUAAGACUGGGAUAACUUCGGGAAACCGGAGCUAAUACCGGAUAAUAUAUUGAACCGCAUGGUUCAAUAGUGAAAGACGGUUUUGCUGUCACUUAUAGAUGGAUCCGCGCCGCAUUAGCUAGUUGGUAAGGUAACGGCUUACCAAGGCAACGAUGCGUAGCCGACCUGAGAGGGUGAUCGGCCACACGGGAACUGAGGCACGGUCCAGACUCCUACGGGAGGCAGCAGUAGGGAAUCUUCCGCAAUGGGCGAAAGCCUGACGGAGCAACGCCGCGUGAGUGAUGAAGGUCUUCGGAUCGUAAAACUCUGUUAUUAGGGAAGAACAAAUGUGUAAGUAACUAUGCACGUCUUGACGGUACCUAAUCAGAAAGCCACGGCUAACUACGUG